CCAUGGGUGGCUCAGUGGUUGAGCACCUGACUUCAGCUCAGGGUGUGAUCCCAGGGU
rnacentral:tRNA from 1 species